GCCAGGAAACUACGAGCUAAGCUUAAAACCCAAAGGACUUGACGGUACCCCACAUCCCCCUAGAGGAGCCUGUCUUAUAAUCGAUGCCCCCCGCUAAACCUCACCAUUCUUAGCCUUUCAGCCUGUAUACUUCCGUCGUCAGCCAACCACAUGAGUGUAAACUUAGUGAGCCUAAUGACCACCCGCCAAAACGUCAGGUCAAGGUGCAGCAAACAGAAUGGGAACAAAUGGGCUACACUUUCUAAUUUAGAAAAUACGGAAAACUAAUGUGAAACCUAAUUCAAAAGGUGGAUUUAGAAGUAAAAAGAAAUUAAAGCAUCCUUUUUA
rnacentral:rRNA from 1 species